rnacentral:rRNA from 1 species
CAGCAGUCGCCGCGGUAAUACGAAGGGGGCUAGCGUUGUUCGGAUUUACUGGGCGUAAAGCGCACGUAGGCGGACUUUUAAGUCAGGGGUGAAAUCCCGGGGCUCAACCCCGGAACUGCCUUUGAUACUGGAAGUCUUGAGUAUGGUAGAGGUGAGUGGAAUUCCGAGUGUAGAGGUGAAAUUCGUAGAUAUUCGGAGGAACACCAGUGGCGAAGGCGGCUCACUGGACCAUUACUGACGCUGAGGUGCGAAAGCGUGGGGAGCAAACAGGAUUAGAUACCCGAGUAGUCCCUGUCUCUUAUAC